GGAUGCUAAUACCGCAUACGUCCUACUUUUGAAAGCAGGGGAUCUUCGGACCUUGCGCUAAUAGAUGAUCCUAAGUCGGAUUACCUAGUUGGUGGGGUAAAGGCCUACCAAGGCCACCAUCUGUAGCGGGUCUGAGAGGAUGAUCCGCCACACUGGGACUGACACACGGCCCAUACUCCUACGGGAGGCAUCAUUGGGGAAUAUUGGACAAUGGGGGGAACCCUGAUCCAGCCAUGCCGCGUGUGUGAAGAAGGCCUUAUGGUUGUAGAUUUCUUUUCGCAAAGAUGAGGCUUCUUUAAUUAAUACCUGCAGAUUGUGUACGUUACUCCCUUAACAGUCCCCGGCUAACUCUGUGCCACUAACUACGUUAAUACAGACGCUGCGAGCGGUAAUCGGAUUUCCUGGGCCGAAAUUGUGCGUAGUAAGCUUAUUAA
rnacentral:rRNA from 1 species